GGUGGGUUGCCCGAGCGGCCAAAGGGAGCUGACUGUAAAUCAGCCGUCAACGACUUCGGGAGUUCGAAUCUCUCACCCACCA
rnacentral:tRNA from 1 species